UACGAAGGGUGCAAGCGUUACUCGGAAUUACUGGGCGUAAAGCGUGCGUAGGUGGUUUGUUAAGUCUGUUGUGAAAGCCCGGGCUCAACCUGGGAAUGGCAAUGGAUACUGGCAAGCUAGAGUGCGGUAGAGGGUAGUGGAAUUCCCGGUGUAGCGGUGAAAUGCGUAGAGAUCGGGAGGAACACCAGUGGCGAAGGCGGCUACCUGGACCAGCACUGACACUGAGGCACGAAAGCGUGGGGAGCAAACAGG
rnacentral:rRNA from 1 species